ACGGUUAUAAAUCAACAUAUUGAUUUAUAAGCAUGGAAAUCCCCUGAGUGAAACAACGAAUUACUGUGUGUAGUCUUUGCCCAUCUCCCACGAUGGGCUUUUUUUUAA
rnacentral:other from 1 species